GAUCAUAAGCGAGAUAAAGCAUCUGUUUAGGCUAGAAAAAUGUUUCUAGCUAUAUUUUUCCAAGCUAUUACGAUUUUUUUUAAGAAAUUGAUACAAAUACCACAUUCAUAGUACCAAUUUUCAUGUUUACACUAAUCACUUUUAUCUUCACCUUUAGGUAAAAGAUACGUAUAUCCUUAUGGUUAACUAAUUUAGACUUAGAGUUUAGAGUUGAGGGAUGGAGUAUGGUUUUUGGAAUGUGAAAUUUAUGA
rnacentral:lncRNA from 1 species